rnacentral:rRNA from 1 species
CCGGCGACCGGCGCACGGGUGAGUAACACGUAUGCAACCUGGCCGUGACAGAUGGAUAACCGGGAGAAAUCCCGCCUAAUACAGCAUGACGCCGCGGGAGGACAUCCUCCCGCGGCCAAAGGGGCGACCCGGUCACGGAUGGGCAUGCGGCGCAUUAGGUAGUUGGUGGGGCAACGGCCCACCAAGCCGACGAUGCGUAGGGGUUCUGAGAGGAAGGUCCCCCACAUUGGAACUGAGACACGGUCCAAACUCCUACGGGAGGCAGCAG